AGAACAAACCAGCAUCUCAAGGACGCACGACGUGUAAGUGGGGAAAGGUGUUCUAUGAGGUGCAGCUUUCCUUCUUACAGGUGCAGCAAGAGACAGACUGUAUUUGGACUUAACCUGGAUUCAUCUGAUUGAGUUGCAUCCUUCAGAUAAACAAACGCGCUCUGUUUCGGUACUCCUACGGAAAUAUUUUACCAUCAACGAGGCUCGUGGAACUACAGCGAACUUAGACUGUAAAACACACACACAGUUUGACCGAAUUUCUCCGGUCGCCACAGGCUACGGCAGAGGCUUGGUUUUGCGCUCAGAGAUCGGUGCGCUCUGCUCGACUUUAGUGGUCGCAGGUCCUCCUGACAGAGAGAAUCAAGCAGCAGGCGAACGGCACCGCAGCCACGGCGGGACUCGGCCACUACGGCAUGCUUAAAGCUCACCGGGCACUUGUUGUCCAGUCCUCCCGGUUUGGGACCAUGUUUGAGGACUCCUUUAACAGAUCGAUGUGGCGCGUCGCAUGGAUUUUAUUUUUUUCCUUACUCAUCCACUGCGCACAACCUCAAGAACAACAGUAGAAGAGAAGGAACAAGACAGAUGGACGGACUGUGAUGUCAGCCCCUCUGACAGGGCUUUUCAGCAAGACGUAGGCGCAGAGAUAGACAGGAGCAGUACAUCAGUGAAGCAUGAGGGCAUGCAAGCAUGCUUUCUUUAUUAUGACAAGUGUAAAGAUAAAAGAAUGCCAAAAGUGCCGUCCAGAUUUCUAUCCCUCAAAGUCAUAUAUAUUCAAAUAUUUGACCUGAUUUUACUAAAGUGUUAUUUUCACACAACCUGGGUUUUGUUAAAGUAGAAACCCCUGGUACUAAAAAUAAAACCAGUACGCAAGUGCCUAAAAGUUCCUUAAGUAGCCUUUUAUUUUAAUAACUUAUUUACAGUACUGUGCAAAAGUCCAGGAUUUAUCAAGGUCUUUCAAAGUUUUUCUUUGCACAUUUGCUGCUUUUUUACUUAUUUUAAGCCUGAUCUUGUACUUAAUUUUCAGAGUAAUGUUUCUUUGUUAACCCACUUAACACUGACCAAUAAAUCAUUCAGGCAUAAAGGCUCAUAACUCAAGGUGUGAACCAGUGUUGUGUCUACACAUAGCAGUUUGUUACAAGCAGCCUGCUACAAAAACACAUCAUUUGUUUGAAUUUCUUUACUUGGGUCGAUGAAAAAUGCCAAAGAUAACACAGUUUGAGAGGCAUAAAAUAGUAUUUUUGAACCAACAAGGUGAUUUCCAAAGAUGUCUGAUUGGCAAAAGCUUCAUUUUUCAGCAUGACACUGCAGAUGCGGUUAGCAGCAUACCGGGAUAGAAAAACACACAAUGGGACAUUAUCAGUCAUGGAUUGUCCUCUCCAGAGCCCAGACCUCAGGAAUAUCAAAGCAAUGUGGGAUUAUCGUGACCGAGAGAAAAGAGAACAGAACAACAGGCAGGCAGCAUCCAAAGCAGAGCUGAGAAUAUCCUUUAAAACGCCUGGAUAACUAUUCCUGAGGAAUGCUUAAAGAAAUUAAAGGAAAG
rnacentral:lncRNA from 1 species